AACGAACGCUGGCGGCAUGCCUAACACAUGCAAGUCGAACGAGACCUCCGGGUCUAGUGGCGCACGGGUGCGUAACGCGUGGGAACCUGCCCCUAGGUUCGGAAUAACUCCCCGAAAGGGGUGCUAAUACCGGAUAAUGUCUUCGGACCAAAGGUUUAUCGCCUUUGGAUGGGCCCGCGUUGGAUUAGCUAGUUGGUAGGGUAAAAGCCUACCAAGGCGACGAUCCAUAGCUGGUCUGAGAGGAUGAUCAGCCACACUGGGACUGAGACACGGCCCAGACUCCUACGGGAGGCAGCAGUGGGGAAUAUUGGACAGUGGGCGGAAGCCUGAUGCAGCAAGGCCGCGUGAGUGAUGAAGGCCUGAGAGUUGUAAAGCUCUUUUACCCGGGAUGAUAAUGACAGUACCGGGAGAAUAAGCUCCGGCUAACUCCGUG
rnacentral:rRNA from 1 species